AUUCAGAAUCUAGUAGGAAAGCCACCUUUGACCUUGAGGAUCAGAGAGGAGAGGAAAAGAUCACUCACUGCCACCUGAGACUUUACAGUUGCUGGAAACAUGGCCUAGAUACAAUAAACCAAUGGUCUGUGCUGAAACCAAAUUAGAGCUGAGGAAAUGGAGGAGGAACAAUCAAAUCACAAUUACCCGUCACUGGAAGUAGCAACAAAGUGUCUACAGAAGGAGGUGAGGCGUGCCUUUCCUCUUCAGGGAGCUGGCGCUUCUGAAGUGUUACCGAUCUCAUCAACAACCCAUUUCUGGAAGAGCAGCUAUGAAGACAACAGACACACAAAUGAAUAGUUCUCGAUAAACCUCAAAAACAAAACUCAAAGAAUCCUGCAAAAGCAAGUCAAUUUGCAACACAGGAAACACUUGUGGAGCAAAG